UACAGAGGGUGCAAGCGUUAAUCGGAAUUACUGGGCGUAAAGGGCGCGUAGGCGGCCAACUAAGUCGGACGUGAAAUCCCCUGGCUCAACCAGGGAACUGCGUCCGAUACUGAUUGGCUUGAAUCCGGGAGAGGGAUGUGGAAUUCCAGGUGUAGCGGUGAAAUGCGUAGAUAUCUGGAGGAACACCGGUGGCGAAGGCGGCAUCCUGGACCGGUAUUGACGCUGAGGCGCGAAAGCCAGGGGAGCAAACGGG
rnacentral:rRNA from 1 species